UUAAGUUCAGCGGGUAGUCCUACCUGAUUUGAGGUCAAAUUUGAUAUGAAGUUGUCCGAAGACCCAUUGUGAGCGGGGCUUUCGAGAAGUCAGACAGACAGCGCAACAUGAUUAUCACACUGACGUCCGAAACGUUAGAUUCCGCUGAUGCAUUUAAGAGAGCCGACCGAGCCAGCACGCUCCCAAAUCCAAGCUCCGAA
rnacentral:misc_RNA from 1 species